rnacentral:sRNA from 1 species
AUUCUCCCGGUACAGGAGUUUUGGUUAAAUUCAUCACUGUUUUGGUUAAAUUCAGAGUUUACGUCAUGACGUGUAAAUAUGGCUGACAGUUAAGCCACAGAGUGUACAGUGAUUAUUUUCUUUCUUCUGUAACUUUAAGUUUGCCAGAGUUAGGGAUUGCCUCAUUGUUUUGUUCACUUGGUUUUCUAAAUAUAUGUUCCUACUUCAGCCCCACGUUCUCAGUGGUCUCAUAGUGGUGUGUUCAGACACAUCAGAGGUUCUGUUUCAUCUUUGUCUUGGAGACAUGCCCCCGCGUCUUGUUUCUGUUAGUCUGAGGUUAGACCUCCAGGACUGACCUCCUAAUUUUUUCCUCUUAGUGUCUCUGGCUUUAUCCUUUUGUUCUACUUUCUCAGAAGUUUUAUUUUUCACCUUUAUCUUUUCAACCCUUCUAUCGAAAUUUUCAUUUCUGCUUCGUCUUUCUAACUUCCAGGAGCCUUUUCUUGCUCUCCGAAUGCCCUGCUUUCCACAGCGUGCUGAUCUUGUUUCCUAGGAGGCCGUAUCUGCUCUCAUCUGCCUGAUGAUACUGUUUGUUUUCUUUCUUCUCCCUUCAUUAUCUGACUCCUCCCCUUUUCCUCUCUUUGUUUUGGUUUUGCUCUCAUGUUAAAGAGGCUUUUCACAUGUAAUCUGAUGAUGCUUGGCUGUCUGUUGAAAGAAUGAGACUCUGAAAGCUAUUUGUGCAUGGAUGGUCCUUGUUGUCCACUGGGCUGCAUUGUGGGUGAUAAGGCAGACUUUUUCAGUGGGACCCCCAACUAUCAGAAUCUGUAAGCCAUUUUGGGGGAAGCAGGUGGUGUUCCUGAAGAGGAAUCCUCUACUCUCCUCCUGCCCGAUGGGUCUAGGCCUGGCUUGGCUGCCUUUGGGGAUCUGGAAGGGGAAAGGAGCUGGGGUUGCUCAUCACUUAGUGUGAUGUUCACUUCUCCCCCCGUUUUCAGAAUCGCAGCUCAGCCCUGUCCUCUACCGUGCAAACCACUGCAGGAAGGUGGCCCUUUCUUCUGCCUGCAUGGGGACAGAGAUGGAUUUGGGGAUCUUCCCAGUGCUUCCGCCCACUGGUUUCAGCUUUCCCCCUCUCCUUGGUUAACGCUCACCUGUGACCUUUCCACCCUCAAAUUUUUGACUUUUUUUUUUCUGGUCUGCUGACCUCACUUCUCCCAUUCUUUUUCCCCUUAUGGGUUUAUACUUUUUUUUUUUUUAUUCCUCUGCAGUCAUCGUAGUGGGGUUUUAGGAGCUUUUGAUUAAAACACGUUUCAGCUGCCACAUCGAGGGUUUAUUUUUGAGUGGCUUCCUGGGCUGUGGAAAAUGUGUUAUCAUUGUUAGUACUUACUGAGCAUCCUGGCCUAUCAUGGUCAUAGCCAAAGAGCAGACUUACUGGGAAAUUCAACUCCCUGUCUUCCCCCAUCUAGUUCAUUGGUGGUGAGAAUCCUCCUCUCUUCCCAGCCAUGACUGCCCCAUCUCCCCUCGCCAGAGCCUGUCCAGCAGGUCAACUUUAAAAAUGUAGUGCUAGGCAGGCCUCCUAGGCUGAAAGCAUGUUUUGUUCCAGCAGAACAAAGAUACUUAUGAGCCUUUCUGCAAGGUCCCUGUGAUCACCUCAUCCAAGGAAGAACAAAAACUUAUAGCGACUUCAAAUAAGGUAUGUUGGAGGCACCCUUGUGGAAUUUCUUUUGCUACCAGAAAUGAUGAAGGUUCUUCUGAAUAACUUUUGAAAUAAAAACAUGUAUAAUUGCCUGAGUGAGGCCUGAGAAUGGGUUCACAGUGGGAAGCUACAGGUCAUCUUUUGUGCCCCUGCUAUUGGGUCAUGCAGUCCCCCUCUCCAGCCAGCAAGCUAUGCUUGUCUGCCUCUUCUGCUUCAGGGCAGGGCCCCAGCCCUAUGGGAAGCCAGCAGUUCAUUGCAUCUGCCUGCCAAGUAACUCUCUUCUUCUUUUAAAACAACCCACAGCCAGCCGUGAAGUUGCUCUACAACAGAAGUAACAACAAAUACUCAUAUACCAGGUAAGGCAUCAGCCAGGAAAGACAGCUCCAUUUACUAGGAAAACCUCCACUCACACCAGCCAGGCCCAGCUCUUCUUCGUACCUUCAGAUGAGGAUGACCUCUCUGUACCUCUCUGCCUGGAUAGAUAAGUAGACAGAUGGAUACAGGGAUAUAACUCUGAGCUAUAAUUCACACAUAUCAUAAAAGUCAUCUUUCUAGAGUGUACAGUUAUUAUUAUAUUCACAAUAUGUGGUUUUUAUAUAUUCACAAGUUGUGAGGCCAUCACCACUAUCUAAUUUUAGAACUUUUUCACUGCCUGAAAAGAAACCCUCUAUUCGUUAGCAGUCACUCCCCAUUUUCCCUCAACCAUUGCUUCCCCAACCCCACAGCCCUAGGUAACCACUAAUCUGUUUUCUGUCUUGAUGAAUUUGCCUGUUCUGGACAUCUUUAUAUGAAUGGAAUUGCAUAAUAUAUGGCCUUUUGUGACCAGAUUCCUUCACUCAGCAUAAUGAGAUUACCUAAGAGGUUUUCAAGGUUUAUCCAUGUUGUAGCAUGAAUGAAUACUUCAUUCCUUUUUAUGGCAGAAUAAUAUUCCACAGUGUAGACCACAUUUUCUUUACCCAUUCAUCAGUUGAUGGACAUUUGGGUUGUUUGCACUUUUUGGCUAUUGUGUGUAAUGCUGUUAUGAACAUUCAUUUAAAGUCUCUGUGUGGACUUAUGUUUUCAUUUCUCUAGGAGCAGAAUUGCUGGGUCAUGUGGUAAUUCUAGGUUUAAUCAUUCGAAGACCUGCCAAACUGUUUUCUAAAGUGGCUGCACCAUUUUACAUUCCCACCAGCAAUAUAUGCAGGUUUCUAGAAUGCCAUUUGGCCUUUGAAAACAUGUGGCUCUAACUCAGGAACUUGAGGGAUGCAGGGAGGAUUUAAUGAGGUUACUCAAGAUCUUUAAAAAGACCUAAGAUAUAGAGUCUCCCUUGGGCAGUGCCAUUCUGCUCCUCUUGGGGCUCGGUGAGGCGCUCUCCUCCACCUGGUGCCUGUGCCCAGAGGCUGUCACUCAAGCACGACGGUUAGGAGCACUCAGGCUUAGGGGCCAGGGCUGUCUUUUGGGGGGCGUGUCUGCCAUUUAUUAGGUUCAGCCUUGAGUAAUUACCUAAUUUCUCUGAUCCUCACUUUCCUUCUUGAGUGAUGGAGAUUGGAGUGCCUUUGUCAUGGGAUUAUUGUGAGGUUGAAAUGAGGUAGUGGAGAAAGUGGGCUCAGUAGGGCCCUGCGUGUAGAAGGGCCUAGCAAAUGAUGGCAGUUUUACCAGCUUGUGGUCACCGUAUCAAAUGCUCUUUUGCAGCAAUUCUGACGACAAUAUGUUGAAAAACAUUGAACUGUUUGAUAAGCUGUCUCUGCGCUUUAACGGAAGGGUCCUGUUCAUAAAGGAUGUCAUUGGGGAUGAAAUCUGCUGCUGGUCCUUUUAUGGUCAGGGCCGGAAGAUUGCUGAAGUCUGUUGUACCUCCAUCGUCUACGCCACUGAGAAGAAACAGACCAAGGUGGAGUUUCCUGAAGCCCGGAUUUAUGAGGAGACCCUGAACAUUUUGCUGUAUGAGGCCCAGGAUGGCCGGGGACCUGACAAUGCGCUCCUGGAGGCCACAGGCGGGGCGGCAGGGCGCUCUCACCACCUGGAUGAGGACGAGGAGCGGGAGCGGGAGCGGAUCGAGCGCGUGCGGCGGAUCCACAUCAAGCGCCCCGACGACCGGGCCCACCUCCACCAGUGAGCAGGCAAGAGACCGAGCCGCCCUCCUCUCACCGCCCCCACUCCCUGCCGUGCUACACCCAGAUCCUGUGCAGGCUGCCGGGCCCCUUCUGCUUCCCUUGGAGCCUGGAGAUACUUUUGUAACAAGCCAGAUGAUUAUUUUGGUAUUGCUUGACAAGGCAAAUUGAUUGUCUUGACCCAGGCGUAUGACCCCUGUUGUUGAACAAGCUGUGUCUAAGAUCUCUACUUUUCAUGAGAAUCUGAGACUCUUUGGAGCCAGGCUUUCUCGGUUCUCAGAGGAAAAGUAUGAAUGAGUGUGAAGUGUAUGUGAGAACUUUUGUUUGCCGUAUUUAUUUUUGUGGGUGUCGACUUCCUAUAUGGACUUUUUGGGUGACACUCCCUUAACGGUUCAGUUUGACAAUUCUGAGAGUUGUUCUGCAGUUGGAGGCCACCAGAGGUAUCUGAGCUCCCUGCUUCCUAUUUCAUAAUCCUCCAGCCCCAGCAGGUCCACUCCUGGUUCCUGUGUGUUUGGCCCAGGCACAAUCCCCACCGCUUUGCUAGAAGUGCUUUCUGCCAUGUGGCUUUGGGCCUAGAGCUUGUUGAUAAUUGCAGCUUGUGGCAGUGGAAAUGUGGCUGAAUGAGCGUCUAAAUCGUUGAGACCAGUGCAACUUUGGGUGCAAGGCUUUGUUUAGGGAGCAAGCCUUUUGCCACCUUGGGCUGGUCUUUGGCCUGGUGCUCACUGGGACCCCACAUGUCUGCGUAGGAGCAGCUUUCCAUGGCAGUAAGUGUCCAGCUCUGUUUCUGGUUCUUUCCCUGACUCCAGCCCCUUCCAGUUGUUCUCCUGGUUGACCCGACUCCACUCCAGGAAGGCCAUCUGACCCUGUGACAGGCAUAGCUCAUAAACUACCCCUCCCUGGGAUCCCACUCCUCUUCAGCCUCCUUCCCCAUAAAGCUGGGCUUUCUAAGUCAGUUUGCUUAGAAAUUCAGUGUGGCCCAUACCCUUUGUCCUCCCAGCCUGGUAUCCAGGCAGGGACACCCUCACACCACCAGCCCCAGGGAGCUUCCCUGCUGUAAACAGACCCCCUUCUCUUUGCCUCUGAUUGAUUUUUACACAGUGUAGAGUGGCCAGCAGUGAACAGGUUGAGGAUGUGUGGGUAGAUAGAUACCUUUGGGUCUGGUUUGUGUCUGUGUUCAUGUUUGUUUAAGGGAUGUGUGCGACUGUGGGUGGGGACGUGUGCUUGUGGGGCACAGGUGGCCCCUGCUGGAGCCCGGCUGGGCGCAGUGCCCAUGUAGGACGGGUGUUCUCAGUGACCUACCUCCCAGGCUCCUCUGCGCCUGCAAAGGAACAGCAGUGAGUCGUGACUGACAGGGGUGGUUGAAACUAGACUAGGUAGAGUAGUUACCAGGAGAUGUGAAUGUGUGUCAGGUGAUGGAUGGGUUUGUCAAGGGAAUCGUUACUGUUUUAUACCAAAGGUGUUAACAUGGGCAGCCUUUGAUACAUGUAUUCCAAAAAGCGAGUUUAUAUUUUCAAAUGGUUUUUACAGCUUAGACUUUGUACGUACUGCCCUGCCUGUGACAGUUGUAUGCCUUCAUUUUGUAUCCAACAGCAAAGUCUACAAUAAAACUUUAAAACAAUCAUG